GUGGGGAAUUUUGGACAAUGGGCGCAAGCCUGAUCCAGCAAUGCCGCGUGCAGGAAGAAGGCCUUCGGGUUGUAAACUGCUUUUGUACGGAACGAAAAGACUCCUUCUAAUAAAGGGGGUCCAUGACGGUACCGUAAGAAUAAGCACCGGCUAACUACGUGCCAGCAGCCGCGGUAAUACGUAGGGUGCAAGCGUUAAUCGGAAUUACUGGGCGUAAAGCGUGCGCAGGCGGUUAUAUAAGACAGAUGUGAAAUCCCCGGGCUCAACCUGGGAACUGCAUUUGUGACUGUAGAGCUAGAGUACGGUAGAGGGGGAUGGAAUUCCGCGUGUAGCAGUGAAAUGCGUAGAUAUGCGGAGGAACACCGAUGGCGAAGGCAAUCCCCUGGACCUGUACUGACGCUCAUGCACGAAAGCGUGGGGAGCAAACAGGAUUAGAAACCCUGGUAGUCC
rnacentral:rRNA from 1 species